GUUUGUGUUAGUGUGUGUAUGUUAGUGUGUGUGUGUUAGUGUGAGUGUGUGUGUUAGUGUGUGUGUAUGUUAGUGUGUGUGUGUUAGUGUGUGUGAGUGUGUGUUAGUGUGUGUGUGUUAGUGUGUGUGUUAGUGUGUGUGUGUGUUAGUGUGUGUGUGUUAGUGUGUGUGUGUGUGUGUUAGUGUGUGUGUGUGAGUGUGUAUUAGUGUGUGUGUGUGUUAGUGUGUGUAUGUUAGUGUGUGUGUGUUGUGUUAGUGUGUGUAUGUUAGUGUGUGUGUGUUAGUGUGUGUGUGUAGUUGUGUGUGUGUGUUAGUGUGUGUGUGUUAGUGUGUGUGUGUUAGUGUGUGUGUAGUUGUGUGUGUGUGAGUGUGUAUUAGUGUGUGUGUGUGUUAGUGUGUGUGUGUUAGUGUGUGUGUGUGUGUGUUAGUGUGUGUGUGUUAGUGUGUGUGUGUGUUAGUGUGUGCAUGUUAGUGUGUGUGUGUUAGUGUGUGUGUGUUAG
rnacentral:lncRNA from 1 species